rnacentral:rRNA from 1 species
AUUGAACGCUGGCGGCAGGCCUAACACAUGCAAGUCGAACGAGUGGCGGACGGGUGAGUAAUGUCUGGGAAACUGCCCGAUGGAGGGGGAUAACUACUGGAAACGGUAGCUAAUACCGCAUACCAUCGGAUGUGCCCAGAUGGGAUUAGCUAGUAGGUGGGGUAACGGCUCACCUAGGCGACGAUCCCUAGCUGGUUUGAGAGGAUGACCAGCCCCACUGGAACUGAGACACGGUCCAGACUCCUACGGUAGGAAGCAGUGGGGAAUAUUGCACAAUGGGCGCAAGCCUGAUGCAGCCAUGCCGCGUGUAUGAAGAAGGCCUUCGGGUUGUAAAGUACUUUCAGCGGGGAGGCGUUACCCGCAGAAGAAGCCCCGGCUAACUCCGUGCCAGCAGCCGCGGUAAUAC